AAGAGGAGAGUGAGAGAUGGAUGGAAAGACAUGGCAGAAAGAGGAGAGUGAGAGAUGGAUGGAAAGACAUGGCAGAAAGAGGAGAGUGAGAGAUGGAUGGAGUGAGUAUAUCAGAGAGGGAGGGAGAGAAAGUUCCAGGGCUGCAGUAACUGUACAUGAACAUGUGACCUGACCAGGAACAAAUCUGGGCCUUACACUCCUGGCCCUAAACAUAAACCAUGUAAUCAUCCCACUAUGGUGCUCAACUCUUUUUCCCAGGUGCCAUUGCAGCAGUUCUGCUGCAACCUCAGAAUACAACGCUAGGUUAGUGCUGAAAUUAGGAAGACAAAACCUAGAAAAACUACAACAUUAAAGUCUUGAGUCAGCUGGACUGAUUCCAAACAUUGUGCGGACCACAGAAUAUUAAAAUGUGCAUACUUUUUAUCUUUGGUUGUGAAUUAUAGGGGUGGUUACAUGGACCUAUAUUUAGCCUAUGAUUGGAGUUACUCCAUUUUCAAUGGCGUGUCUGCAAUGCAAUUGAACGUCCUUUGAAAAUGUGUUGUAGUCUAAGAGAAUGCUUGAAUAUGGGUUUGUGAAACAGCCCAAUAAGGGUACCAGUCAUUUUAAGCUUUUCUUUCAGUGUCUCGAGGUCCAACAGCGCCAACAGCGCCAGUGAGGGGCGAUGCAUUGAUGUGACCCAUAUGCUUUUCAUUUGUAACCGAAGAUCCUUGCUUGCUUUUUGUGUUCCCCUUACAAAAUAUAAUCUAUUAUCUUGUUUGUAUUUAUUUUCUUUGUCAAAUGGUUCCAUUCUGUCCGUAAGCGUUAACUAAAGACUUAAGUUAUGUAUAUGUAAAUAAUGUAGAGGUUUUAUGGGUCUCCUUUUUGUUGUUGUAUGAAUACUCUGAAACAUGUUACACCUACUGGCUGUACUUUGCAUCAGGUCAGUUUGAGGUCUUCUGUACACAAGUCAAAAACAUGAUCAUAAACAAAUACUAUAUAACGUGAUGUCAGGAAAAGUCCAUUUCCAGCAGGAAUGAGGAUGAUAAUGAUGAGGGUGAUGAUGUGGAUGAAUAGGAUAUGGGUGGUAGUAAUACUGAUGAUGGUGAUGAUAAGGCAGAUGUUGAGGAUGAAUAGGAUAUGGGUGGUAGUAAUACUGAUGAUGGUGAUGAUAAGGCAGAUGUUGAGGAUGAAUAGGAUAUGGGUGGUAGUAAUAUUGAUGAUGGUGAUGAUGAUGAUGAUAAGGCAGAUGUUGAGGAUGAAUAGGAUAUGGGUGGUAGUAAUAUUGAUGAUGAUGGUGAUGAUGAUAAGGCAGAUGUUGAGGAUGAAUAGGAUAUGGGUGGUAGUAAUAUUGAUGAUGAUGGUGAUGAUGAUAAGGCAGAUGUUGAGGAUGAAUAGGAUAUGGGUGGUAGUAAUAUUGAUGAUGGUGAUGAUGAUGGUGAUGAUAAGGCAGAUGUUGAGGAUGAAUAGGAUAUGGGUGGUAGUAAUAUUGAUGAUUGUGAUGGUGGUGAUAAUAAGGCAGAUGUUGAGGAUGAAUAGGAUAUGGGUGGUAGUAAUAUUGAUGAUUAUGAAAAUUAUGAUGUCCGAACUAUAAUGCUGACUGAUGAAGUUGAAUCCAGUAGUUUUUCUAUGUGUUUGUAAGAUAUGACCCCUGAUCUCAGGGCAGAAUAUUACCUACUACUGCCCCUUGUGUGGGGCUAUAGCUAAAUGAACUUUUCUAUCUCUGUAAAAGCUAUUGGUCACAUUGUACAUUAUGUGGAAAGCUACAUAAAGUAUACAAAGACUACAUCCGUUGUACGACGCAUUUAUUUAUUAUUUAUUGAGCUUGACCUACAUAUUUGCAUAUGCAAUUAAUCAUCCAGUUUAUCAGUAGAUAAUAUGCUGAAAUGUAUAUUUUAUUAAACUUAGUAGGUCAUGGAUCAAAGGUUAUUAAGUUCUUAAUUUAUGUUAAUCAUCUAAGUACCA
ensembl:lncRNA